rnacentral:rRNA from 1 species
GACGAACCGAGCGAACGUUGUUCGGAAUCACUGGGCUUAAAGGGCGCGUAGGCGGGCAUUCAAGUCUGUGGUGAAAUCCGGCAGCUCAACUGUCGAAUUGCCGUGGAUACUGGGUGUCUCGAGGGAGGCAGGGGUGCGCGGAACUAAUGGUGGAGCGGUGAAAUGCGUUGAUAUCAUUAGGAACUCCGGUGGCGAAGGCGGCGCACUGGUCCGAUAUUGACGCUGAGACGCGAAAGCGUGGGUAGCAAACAGGAUUAGAAACCCCGGUAC